rnacentral:misc_RNA from 1 species
GAUGAAGAACGUAGCGAAAUGCGAUAAGUAAUGUGAAUUGCAGAAUUCAGUGAAUCAUCGAAUCUUUGAACGCACCUUGCGCUCCUUGGUAUUCCGAGGAGCAUGCCUGUUUGAGUGUCAUUAAUAUAUCAACCUUCUCUUUUUUGAGUUGUUUGGAUGUGGGGGUUUGCUGGCCUCUUAAAUGAUUCAGCUCCCCUGAAAUGCAUUAGCAGAACAACCUGUUCAUUAGCGAGAUAAUUAUCUAUGCUAUUGAAUGUGAGGGCAGUUCAGCUUUCUAACCGUCCUUGGACAAUUCAUCAUUAAUGUGACCUCAAAUCAGGUAGGACUACCCGCUGAACUUAAGCAUAUCAAUAAGCGGAGGA